rnacentral:rRNA from 1 species
ACUCCUACGGGAGGCAGCAGUAGGGAAUUUUCCGCAAUGGACGAAAGUCUGACGGAGCAAUGCCGCGUGAGUGAUGAAGGUUUUCGAAUCGUAAAGCUCUGUUGUAAGGGAAGAAUAGCAGUAGUAGGAAAUGACUACUGUGUGACGGUACCUUACCAGAAAGCCACGGCUAACUACGUGCCAGCAGCCGCGGUAAUACGUAGGUGGCAAGCGUUAUCCGGAAUUAUUGGGCGUAAAGCGCAUGUAGGCGGCUCUUUAAGUCUGAUGUGAAAGCCUGUGGCUCAACCACAGAAUUGCAUUGGAUACUGGAGAGCUAGAAUCUUGGAGAGGUAAGUGGAAUUUCAUGNGUAGCGGUGGAAUGCGUAGAUAUAUGAAGGAAC